GAUGAAGAACGCAGCGAAAUGCGAUAAGUAAUGCGAAUUGCAGAAUUCAGUGAAUCAUCGAAUCUUUGAACGCACAUUGCGCCCGGUAGUAUUCUGCCGGGCAUGCCUGUUCGAGCGUCAUUUCAACCAUCAAGCCCCAGCGCUUGUGUUGGGGGCCUGCGGCUGCCGCAGCCCCCCAAAAGCAGUGGCGGGCUCGCUAUCACACCGAGUGCAGUAGUUCAUCUUCUCUCCGGUCUUGUGAGGCGGGUUCCGGCCGUGAAACACCCUACUACAUUCAAGGUUGACCUCGGAUCAGGUAGGAAUACCCGCUGAACUUAAGCAUAUCAAUAAGCGGAGGA
rnacentral:misc_RNA from 1 species